rnacentral:lncRNA from 1 species
UCUUAUUAAUGAAAUAGCAUAAACAUUCUCUAGGCUUCCUCUGAGGCAAUGCAGUCAGGACAAACCAAUGGGGGCAGGGGGAUAAUUUGGAAUCCUCUGGAAGCCAGGAUUUUGUCUUGGCUGCUCUCCAUGCAAGAGCUUGGACCACAGGACAACAUCUCCCAAAGAGCAUGGUGAUGGCUGCCCAGGCCCUAGAGCCAGCUACCUCAGUACUCUUCAGGAGAGCCCCAUCUUGGGUUCUGUUCACCUUUGUGUGUCCUUGCAGGACUUCCGGUCAAGAUGGCGGCUUAGAAGCUGCUAAAGUUCAGAUAUUGGAGACCCUUCCUUACCGAUCGCAAACUGAGUACUCAUAGGACACCGAAAUUCAAGCUGAACAAUAGGACAGACCCGGGGCACCCUCCUCCUGGACCUGGACCAAAAGGUACGCCCCCCCCAAAAGCCAAAACCCUAGAUAACUCGGAUCUAAGGGGCAGGCAGAAGGAAGGUCCCAGGACCCAUCCCCCCCCAACCCAGAGUGCUGAGCCCACGGCAGCAACGGGAACUUCAGGGCCGGCAAAAGGGCCCCAAAGGCUGACUAUUUUGAAGGACUCAUCUUGAAAGCAACCUGAGCCAGUCUCCGGGAUGCCCAACACAGAUGGCAGGGAAACAUAGAGAGAAGGGGGAAGCCUGUAGCCCCCUGGCUGGGUCCUUCCAACUGAGUCUCAAGAGAGGUCCCAGCUUUAGGGCACCAGCUGAACCCAAUCCCAUCAGGAGCCCUCAGAGCUACUGAAAGGAGAGAAACCUUAGGGUCAGCAAAGGGGUUGCUCUAAAGAGCUUACCUUGAAAGUAACCUGGGCCAGUCUCUGGGCAUUCAACACAGAUUGUGGAGGAGGAGGUUGUUUUUUUUCUUUUUUUUGGCUCGGGGAUUAUUUGGCCCACACGAGCUGAACCUAAUCCCAUCAGGAGCCCUCAGAGCUUCUGAAAGAACAGAAACAGGGCUGGCAAAGGGCUUACCUUGAAAGCAACCUGGGCUAGUCUCCGGGCAUUCAACACAGAUUGUGGAGGAGGAGGUUUUUUGCUUUAGGGCUCAUUCAGUCCAAACCAGCUAAACAUAAUCCCAUCAGGAGCCCUCAGAGCCCAGGGAGGCUACUACCCCUCCCCCCUUAGAAAGCAGAGUCUUCUGAAAGAACCAGCUGAAUCUAAUCCCAUCAAAAGCCUCCAGAACACAGGGAAGCCCAGCUCCCCACCCAUCCUCAUUGACUGCUGGACCUUAAGCCAAUCAAAAGCCUCCAGAGGACAGGGAAGCCCAAACCCCCAACAACCCUCCCCCAGAGACUACACCAAGAGAUCUUCUGUUAAAGCUCCAAGAGGGGA